UCAAGUAACAAUAUCAAAGAGAACAGCUUGACCAGUGUCCUUGACUUCAUGGAGGAAGGAUAUCCUGGUUACCAGGCCCUUUGUUUUCCAGCUGAAAACAAUCUGCUACUGACAGAAACGGGACACACACACUUGCAGGCCUGCUGUUACCACCAAAUAUCUCCUGCACUGCUGCGUGUGCUGGCUCGCUCUCGCCCCUGCAACCGCAGCAUCUCCAGCACGCUUCUGGCGUAGGCGUCCCGCAGGUUCACCCCUAUCGCCG